rnacentral:rRNA from 1 species
CCCUUAGAUGUUCUGGGCCGCACGCGCGCUACACUGAUGCAUUCAACGAGCCUAUCCUUGACCGACAGGUCCGGGUAAUCUUUGAAUCUGCAUCGUGACGGGGAUAGAUUAUUGCAAUUAUUAAUCUUCAACGAGGAAUGCCUAGUAGGCGCAAGUCAUCAGCUUGCGUCGAUUACGUCCCUGCCCUUUGUACACACCGCCCGUCGCUCCUACCGAUUGGGUGUGCUGGUGAAAUGUUCGGAUCGGCCGUUUGUCGCGGUUUCCGCGUCAUGUGGCUGAGAAGUUCAUUAACGCCUCCCACCUAGAGGAAGGAGAAGUCGUAACA